UACCGCAAACGACCGUACAGAGAGCAGUGGCGACUCCCGUUCGACACGUGCAGGUGGCACAGCGGGUAGCUGAGGGCGCGCCGGUCGCCCAUGGUGACGAGCGCCAGCUUCCGAAGAGCUCUUUGUUCUGUGGUUGGCCGGUCAUGUAGUCUAGAGAAUGAAAGAACCAACCUCCGGCGGCGACAGACGCUAUUUCUAAAGUAUUCUUCUAGAUGCAACCUUUCUAGAAGCGUAGAGUUCCUACUGUCGAAGUAGUAGGCAACACUGCAGUAACAUGAACUGCAGUUCCGGCUGCAGUUGUGCCUCCAACCGCGAUGGUGGUAGCAAAGAGUCAAGUAGGUUCAGGGAGGAAGCCUGUACCGUUAGGUGAAGUUCAUAGAGGAGUACAGGUUCCUCCCACGACUGCACUGCAAACUCCAACCGCCGCUUCGUAAACGACGCGUAGCUACACACGAACGUCGCGCUAGAUACCGGAAGUUCAGUGUCGACAAACCACUGUGAGGACCACCACGAUGACACUUCUAGCUACUCCCUCGGGGUUUUCGUCAGGUUGUACAUUACACCGACGACGUCAACGAACUUCGACGCCUCUCUAUACUAGAGGUAUCCGACUUCAGCUAGACGGUUCUUCUCAACCCGUGGUCGUAAGUCGACUUGUGUCAUCGCCUUUAGUAACAACCUCGACUCGCCCCUGCGAUGGCAACCAACUUCCUUCUCACGACCCUCAAGUAGUUUAGAUUGUGUUGGCACGUGUGUCAAAAGUGUCGACUCCUCUAACUCGUCUAGCAGUUUAGGACGUCGCGGAGGCAAGAGUUGUUCGAGGAGAGGUUCUACAGUCGUGACUAGGAUUUCGUACAAUUUCGUCUCCAGGUGCCGGUGGGUGGCGUCUGCCACUCGCCUGGCGCCUCCGGCUGGCGGCGUCGACCGACGCUAUGAGCGGCCGCGGCUCGUGGACCGGCCGCACGAGGCCCAGGCUCGGCUCGCAGAGGUAGACGACAGCACCCGCCUCCGGCUCCCCGCUCACUGCGCCGCCAGUGGCUCCGGCGGCGGUAGACGCGCGAUUAGCGGCAGCGCCUCGACUGGCAGGGGCUGCGGUAGCCUCAGGCGGUAGCGAGGCUCGACGCAGAGGAGGCGGCGCGUGGAAGCGUGGGCAGGUGCCACUGGUCCGCUACGGGUACCCGCUGCCCUGGGAGGACGAGCAGAAGAUGCCCGCGACGCCAACGGCCCUUAAGAUCCGGCCUCCGGUAGUACGCGAUAAAAAACGAUAGCGACGAUACACAGUGAUGACAGUCUUACCGUUUUCUGGUACCUUUAAAACGGCACGUCUUCAGAUUUUUUUUCCGGACAUCCCGGGCCACCUACCCCGCAAGCGCGACCAAGCAAGAAGAGGGCUUGCUUUAGCAAGCCAGCUACGGGGACGGGAGGGCUUGCUCAGCAAGCCCGGCCCCACAGAUGUCGGGCUUGCAGGCCUCGAGGCACAUGUCACACCGACAACGUAGGUCAGCAGUCAACUUAUACGAGAAUUAAAACCAACUGAAAUUAGUCGAACUGGACAAAGUUCUCUACUCGCCUAGUAUAGGGCUGGGCCUACGGAGGAACUAUUGGAUU
rnacentral:rRNA from 1 species